rnacentral:rRNA from 1 species
ACGCCUUAUACAUGCAAGUCGAACGGAGUAGCAAUACUCAGUGGCAGACGGGUGAGUAACAUGUGGGAAUCUUCCCUUUGGUGAGGAAUAACACGAGGAAACUUGUGCUAAUACCUCAUAAGUCUUUACGGAGAAAGCUUUAUGCGCCGAAGGAUGAGCCCGCACUUGAUUAGUUUGUUGGUGGGGUAAUGGCCUACCAAGACUGUGAUCAAUAGCUGAUCUGAGAGGAUGAUCAGCCACAUUGGGACUGAGACACGGCCCAAACUCCUACGGGAGGCAGCAGUAAGGAAUCUUGCACAAUGGAGGAAACUCUGAUGCAGCGAUGCCGCGUGAGUGAAGAAGGCCUUUGGGUUGUAAAGCUCUUUCGUCGGGGAAGAAAAUGACUGUACCCGAAUAAGAAGGUCCGGCUAACUUCGUGCCAGCAGCCGCGGUAAUACGAAGGGACCUAGCGUAGUUCGGAAUUACUGGGCUUAAAGAGUUCGUAGGUUGUUAAAAAAGUUGGUGGUGAAAUCCCAGAGCUUAACUCUGGAACGGCCAUCAAAACUUUUUAGCUAGAGUUUGAUAGAGGAAAGCAGAAUUUCUAGUGUAGAGGUGAAAUUCGUAGAUAUUAGAAAGAAUACCAAUUGCGAAGGCAGCUUUCUGGAUCAUUACUGACACUGAGGAACGAAAGCAUGGGUAGCGAAGAGGAUUAGAUACCCUCGUAGUCCAUGCCGUAAACGAUGUGUGUUAGACGUUGGGAAUUUAUUUUCAGUGUCGCAGCGAAAGCAUUAAACACACCGCCUGGGGAG